rnacentral:misc_RNA from 1 species
CCACCAACAGCCUCUGCCGCCCUCUGUUGUCAGUUAAUUGUCUUCCUCCACAGAAACUAAACCUAUAUAUGCAUAGAAAUGGCAGACCCAAACUCCACCGGCAGUAUCACCGCCAAACCCAGAGUCGUGAUAUGCAUAGGUGACAUCCAUGGCUACUUCGCCAAGCUCCAAAACCUCUGGUCCAAUCUCCAAACCGUAAUCAACCCAGAGGAUUUUAGCUCCGCUUUGGUCAUCUUUCUGGGUGAUUACUGUGACAGAGGUCCAGAUACUAAGAAAGUCGUAGAUUUCUUGAUUGAUUUGCCCUUGGCCUAUCCAAAUCAAAAACAUGUGUUUCUCUCUGGCAAUCACGACCUUGCUUUUGCGGCUUUUUUGGGGGUUUUGCCGGAGCCCGGAAACGGAGUGUCGUUUAAGGAGGGAUGGAAGGAGUACGAACAGAACGAGGAGCGAGAAGGUUGGUAUAAGGGACUUGGGUACGAGAAUAUGUUUCUGCAGGGGAGGAUGUGGGCUGGGACUGUUAAAGUUCGGUUCGAUGCUAAAGGGACAGAGUAUAAGGGUUCUGUUUAUGAUGCUGGACCUACAUUUGAGUCCUAUGGAGUCCCUCAUGGGUCUGCUGGUAUGUGAGUGCUUUUGCUUGAUUUCUGAUGGUAAAUUGAGUCUUCCAGUUAUUAUAUGGGCAGUGGAUUCUUGGGGUUUUUUGGAUUUGUUAUGGCAAAUGGACUCUAGAGAUUAGUUGGUGUGAAUUUCAGCAAUCAAUUAGGGACUGUAUUUGUCUUGGGCUUUCUAUAUGAAGUAGAUUCCUGUGUUUGAACUUGUGGUUUCUAGUUCAUUAUUUUAUUGUUGCUCUUUUUUUCUGAUGGAAUUUGGUGUUUGAUGUAUUAGUUUAUUUCUUGGUUUAUCAAUUUUGAUUCUAGCAUAUUGUGUUCGAAGCUGUUUUAUUUCUUUUUUUUCCCCAAUUCAACAGUGUUUUAGUAUGAAGUAGAAAUAAUAGACAAUAGCUAGAUCCUUCCUUUUCAAAAUUGAGAUGGAAUUUUUUUUAAAUUAGUACUGUGCUUCUGUUGUGUUAAAUUUUUUAUUGAAUGAAUAAUUUUUGCUGCAGAUUUAAUGCAGGUGGUACCUGAUGAGCACAAGAAGUUUCUGGCUGAUAUGGUUUGGGUCCAUGAAGAGGCAAGGCUUGUUUCUUUUGAUGUUUCUUAUCUUCUAGAACUUUGUUCAAUGAUGAGCAAAUGACUGCUGUUAUAAUAUGAUACAAAUUGCAAAAGAGAAAUAGAAACAAUUGGUUUCUUUGUGUUCUCUGUGUUUCCUUGAUCAAUGAUUUCUAAUUCUUCUGCGACUUCAUUUGCAUUCUACGAAAAAUGCUGAAGAUUAGCUGGUGUUGGUAAUAUGCAAUUUUUUUUUGGUAGGAAAAUGUAUGCAUACAGAAUGAAGGAGGAGUUAAACCCUGUAAAUUGAUUGCUGUGCAUGCUGGUUUAGAGAAUGGGAAAAAUAUUGAAGAACAGCUGAAACUUUUGAAGGCCAAGGACACCAGAGUGCCUAAGGUAGAGGCUCUUAGUGGGAGGAAAAAUGUGUGGGAUAUCCCAAAGGAAUUAACUGAGAAGCCAACUAUCGUGGUUAGCGGUCAUCAUGGGAAACUUCAUAUUGAAGGUCUUAGGUUGAUUAUCGAUGAAGGUGGUGGACUAGAGAACAAUCCAGUGGCUGCUAUUGUGCUUCCCUCAAUGAAGCUUGUCCGUGAUACGGACAAGUUCACAAAGUAACUUAAAUUUUGUGGUAGAUCAUAUAGUAACAGUGUCUUCACUUGAUGCUUUCCAAAAUUUAGCCAAGCAUAUUUAUCCAUUCAUGGAAUUUAAUCCAUACUAAUUCUGUGCUAUUUUUAUAUAAUUUAUUUGAAGAGUAUGCAAUAACUAUGAACUCAGUUUGUUCCAAUCUCCAUAUUGCUUCUUGCACUCGUGAUAUUUGCAGAAUGUAUAUCAUUUAUGGUUUUCUUCAAGAAGCUUCAUUUUUUUUGUCUGUUUUGAAUAAAUAUGGAAGCUUCUGGCCAACAGGUGAAUUUCCAUAAAUCUACUAUUUUCUUCAGCAGGCACAUGCCUUUCCAAAUGAAGCAUAGAAUUUUAUCUUUGCUUAAUAUGAAGGAAAUGAAUCUGGGAGAUAAAUAUCUUGGCUUACCUUCUUGGUGGGGACAAUCUAAAGUUCAAGCUCUUGACUUUAUUAAGGAGAAACUUAUAGCUAAGACGCAAUCCUAGAAGCAGAUGUCGUUAUCUCAAGCAGGCAGGGAGGUGCUCAUCAAGUCAGUUUUAAGUGCUAUACCUACAAAUUCUAUGGCUAUUCUUAAGUAACCUAAGGGGUUCUGUCGCUAGUUGAACAAUAUCCUCUCUAAUUUUUGUUGUGGGAGAAAGGAUAAGGAGAAAAAAGUGUAGUGGAUUAGUUGGAAAAAGGCCUCUCUUCCUAAGGCUUGUGGUGGUUUGGGUUUUCGAGAUAUUUAGCUCUUCAAUUUGGCUUGCUUAGCCAAGCAAUGCUAGAGGCUCAUUCACAACCUUAAUUAAACAUGGGCUUGUGUUCUCAAGGGUUUGCAUUUUCCUCAUUGAUCUUUCUUGCAAGCUUUAGGUACCCCCAGAAGAAGCUCAUGGAUUUGGCAAAGCCUUUUGGCCGAUGAAGAUGUUAUUAAAGAGGGUUACAGACACAAUAUUGGGGAUGGCACUCAAACUCUUAUUUGGUUUGAUCCUUGGAUUGAAGGCUUCAGGGUAUCUUGACCCUUACAGUAGCCUCUUCAUGUUUAUUUAGUGGCAGAUCUAAUCAAUCAUGAUUUGUUGCAAUGGAAAACUAAUCUUACUGAUAGUAUUUUUGAUCCAGUUAUUGCUACAGCAAUCAAAGCUAUUCCUAUUACUCCUUUGGGAAACGAAGAUUCUAUUGUGUGGCACUUUGAUCAUUCAGAUAAUUAUUCAGUUUAGUUUGGAUAUAGAUUUCUAUCUAGAAUCAGACUCUUUUGGUGUAAUUAUGCUAGGGCGACAAGCUUUGUGAGCCCUAACACUUAUAAGCCAAAUCCAGUUGGUUUUGGCUCUUCAUCGUCAUGGUGGUCAGCCGUUGUGAAUGAAUUCUGUGAGGACCAGUUGUGCUUUUGCUUUUUACCUAUUUCUUGCUGGAUCAUUUGGAAAAAGAGGAACCUCGCUAUGUUUGAUUAUAUUGACCUGAAUCGAGUAGCAGCUGCUGGACAUAUUUCCAAUUCUUUCUUUGAGUUAUCUAGAUCGGUUACUAGGGGAGAUCAUAACACUUCCUCCUUGCAUGAUUUUACUAUGAGUUCGAUGUGGUCUCCUCCGCCAAUUGGAACUCUUAAGCUGAAUAGUGAUGUGGCUUGGAGAGAUGCUGCAUCUUGUGCAACCAUUGCUAUUGUCCUCAGAAAUCAUGAAGGAAAACUUUUGGAUGGUCAAGUAUGUCUUACUCAGGUUGCUUCUUCUCUUGUGGGUGAGGCAAAAGCUCUUCUUCAAGCUUUACAGUUUGCUUGAUCCCUUGGCGCAAUUUCGAUUAUCCUUGAGAUGGAUUCUUCUUCUUUAUUCGAAACAACGUCUAAUUUGGAUGAUAUUGGAUGGUAGGAGAUUAGAGCUAUUUUGUGUUAUCUAUUAAAUCUCUUCUUCUUCACUUCUAUAAUGUGUUGU